rnacentral:pre_miRNA from 1 species
AUUUGAAACGUUUUAGCCAAAAAUCUUGCCAUGGUGGUGUUUUUUGCAGAAACGUUUCAGAUUU